rnacentral:rRNA from 1 species
AUUGAACGCUGGCGGCAUGCCUUACACAUGCAAGUCGAACGGCAGCGCGGACUUCGGUCUGGCGGCGUGUGGCGAACGGGUGAGUAAUACAUCGGAACGUACCCUGUUGUGGGGGAUAACUAGUCGAAAGAUUAGCUAAUACCGCAUACGACCUGAGGGUGAAAGUGGGGGACCGCAAGGCCUCACGCAGCAGGAGCGGCCGAUGUCUGAUUAGCUAGUUGGUGGGGUAAAGGCCCACCAAGGCGACGAUCAGUAGCUGGUCUGAGAGGACGAUCAGCCACACGGGGACUGAGGCACGGCCCAGACUCCUACGGGAGGCAGCAGUGGGGAAUUUUGGACAAUGGGGGCAACCCUGAUCCAGCAAUGCCGCGUGUGUGAAGAAGGCCUUCGGGUUGUAAAGCACUUUUGUCCGGAAAGAAAUCGCGCUGGUUAAUACCUGGCGUGGAUGACGGUACCGGAAGAAUAAGCACCGGCUAACUACGUG